rnacentral:lncRNA from 1 species
AAAUUGAUGAAUUAUAACAGAUCUAGGUAGAAUUUAUCCACCCCCAUCCCUACCCCCUUUUUGGGUAGAUAACAGAAAUGUGCAAUUCACUGUACUAUGGAGACUGGAAGGUCUACUACAUUUAUUGCUGUGCCAGUUCUCCUUAUAAGUUGUUGUUGCUGCUUUUGUUUUAUUUAUUCUGUCUAUGGGUGUGUUUGUUUUCUGUUUGUUUUUCUGUCUUUCUAGGUAGCCUUAGCUGGCCUGAUACUUGCUAUGUAAUCCAAAUUGGCUUUGAACUCCUAGCAAUCCUCCUGAGUUAACUCUCCGUGUGCUGGGAUUACAGGCUCUGACAAAAUGCCUGGGAGAAACAACUUAAGAGAAAAGGGUCUAUUUUGGCUCAUGUCAAAGGAUCCCAACUACGAUGGUGAGGCAGAUAUUGUGGUAGAAGUGGCUGAGUUAAGUUCUUAGUCUGUGUUGAUGUGAGUACCAAGCAGAUGGUCACUUCAUGAGGAGAAAACAGGGAGCUAGACUGGAUCCAGCGGUAUGUAUGGGAAGCUGCUUCUGUUUGCAAGGCCACAUAUUCCUAGUUCACAGCCUCAUACAACAGUGCCACAAGCUGGUGAGUUUUCAAAUACGUGCACUCCCAGGAACAUAAUAUAUGGAAAUAAUCUUGCAUCUCCUCACUGGUAAUCUUUGUCCGGGUGAACUGGAAGGGUCCUUAGAGUAGGAGUGAGCUGGAUUGCUAAACAGAGUUCCAUUAUUCUCCUAUCAGAUCAAUAAAUUUUCACUUGUUCUGAGGUACUAUUUAUGGAUUAGUAAAAUACCCACAAUAACAUCUACAGACAGAAAGGUAUAGGCCUCUAGUUCCCAUUCUUGACCUGAAUCCCUUUUCUAGUUGGGAAUUUCUUGCUUCUCUUUUUAUUUUUUUUUCACCUGAUCAAGUUACAAGAAUUAGAUGAUAUAUAUAGAUACACAUACAUACAUACAUAUAUAUAUUAGAUAUAAUUCGCCUAUAUUUCAGCUAGAAGAUAACUUUUGGAGAAAAACAAUUUUUUUUCUGCUUAGUUGUGAGAAAAUGCCAGCAACAUAAAUUUCAGACCUCACAAAUAAGAACCAAUUUUUCUUUCAAUAGAAAUGAGCGGAGUGUUCGAGUAGAGAAUUGUCACUAUCAAUACUUGCCCAAAAGACUGAAUGGUCAUUAUCUAUUCCCAAGUUGUGAUAGAUAUGAAACAAGCAAUACCAUAAUGUUUUGCUUUCCUCCCUCUCACAGGGAAGGAGCAAGGGGCUUUGAGGGAGCCUUCUGAGAGGAGGAAGACCAUACUUAAUGCUAAUAACACGGGGAAGACGGAGACUGGGGAUUGCAGUACAGAGUUUUGAGUUUCCAAAAAAUUUUUGAUAAUGAUCCUGUUCUAGGGAUUUGAUGAGCGACAAACAUAAAAAUUUUAAAGUGAUCCAGAAACCUUUAAAACGAGAUCUAUCAUAUGACAAAUGCUCAUAAAUAGCAUGAGGAUUAGAUAAAAGAGGUUACUGACUUCCUCAAGGUGCCCAGAAAAUAACUGACAGCAUCCCAAGAACACAGUCCUUACUGUCCAGUACAAGCUCCUCUUCACUGUCCCAAGCCACACAUGUACUCUGAGCACACGUGUUAAUGAGACUCGUAUUGUGUAGUAAUUCUACUCUGAAGUUUGUUGCUUUGGCCUAUGGAUAGAUUGAGAACCUUCGAAGCAAUUAGCACCAAUGAUUGUUAGAAUGAGAGGAGCAAGGUUAGUGAUCUGCUCUAAAGAAGCAAGUGGCACCAUGCUGUGUGAGCUGACCAUUAGUCAGCAUCACUUUAACCCAGGAAAGCCUGCUGCUGAAGUGGCCUAAGGUGAUGAAUCACAAGGAGCAUCUUGCUCUUGACUUGGCUGCCAUUAAAGUGAUGCCAAGCACCACAUAACCAACUGAAAGGCGUCAAGGGGUUGGCAAGCCACUUGCACAACAGAGUUUGAUGUUAAGCAUCUGGGAGUUUCCAGCAUAUGAAGGAUACAUGGGGGUUCCGAAAUUACCUACAUCACUGAGCACUGUACAGCUGUCACUUAAUAUUUAAACUGGAUGAGAAAUCACAAAAACUCUGGUUUCUCAAAAGCAGAACUACAAGCUGUCAAAGUUGUUGGGUCCUUGGAGGCUAUCCCAACUUAAUUACUUAUUUCACAAAUGGAGAAACGUGCCAUUAUUCAUGUGGGCAGAAGAAAGAAUACGGAGCUAGAAUCCUUCCUGGGUAUCUUGUUUUAGGGGAUUAUAGACAUAGACUCUUAAGGAACACCAUCUGUGCAAGAGGCACAGCGCACUGACUAAAUGCAUGCUGAGAGUCUCCUGGUUAAAUCCACCCUCUUCCUGUUUCACUUCACAUGCAGAUGCUGGAAAGGGUAGGGACCUAAUGAGAGGCAGCAGUCAGCCCCUCCCAGCUGUUCUUGCUCUAACCACAUCCUGGUCAGGUGCCAUUAUUCCCUGGCUCCCCUGACUUAUUCUUCACACUGUCCUCACUGAUGAUGGCUUUCCUAAAGCACUGUUGCCCUUCCAAAAACACUCCAACAAGGCAAUUUAUAGCUGACCUAUGUUUUUCUAAUAAUGUUUUCUCUCCUCUCUUCAUCCUGGAAAUCCACGUGUCUCAGUUGCUCUCAAUCACUGCCACGAGUCUGGUGAUGCGCUAAGCUCGGGGCAGGAUCUCAAGGGCUUUGAGGAUGUCUGCAUCAUCUGUAUUGACCUGCUCCCCAGAUUAAUACCGAAGCACUGCAAUUUCUUGAGGAUUAUCCACCUAGGAGGAAAUGAUACGCUGGCCCAUCCAUAGUAGUCAAGAAACAGUCUGAGAUCCAAAAAGUGGCUUAAAAGAGGGAAAAGUUAAUCAAAAUGUCUGUGAAGCUCUGGCUUCAGUCUCUCCAGCGAGGCUUUCUGAAGCACAGCUCUGAUAGAACUAAACCCAAUGAGACACCGCCUACAAGAGGAAUCCAGCGUGUGAACGAAGACUAAAAAGCAAAACAGCAGCGUCUGGAGUGGACAGCUUCUCUCACUCAGAGAACUGUAGCCUCAAAUUCCUGGCAGAGGUGAGACUAGAACUCAGUCUCAUGGUAUUGCCUACAGUUAACAACAUUAGUUGAAUUGUGUGUGUCUUAAUUUCACUUAUGUAAAUGGAAUGAACAGGUAGACAUGGUAGUGCGGGUCUGUCAUUCCGGCACCAGGGAGGCUGAGGCAGGAUAACAAUGUGUUAACAUUCCACCUGAUUUAUACAGUUAGUGUCAGACUAAUCUGAGCCAUAGGCUGAAAACUUGUCUCAAGUCAAUCAACGAAGAGAAGCAUAAAAAUAUCCCAACCAUCCUGAGAUUUUCAGUUUUAUAAGUAAAACAAGUCUAAGUCCAACAUGAGACUGCUAUUCAAACAAACAAACAAACAACAAACGCUGAAGAUGGGCCCAGGAGGGUCCUGCCAUUACUAGCAAAGGGCCGCCAUUACUAGGUCAAGGCCUAGACUCCGAUGUGAUUGGGUUGAGCAGGCAGCAUAGGCCUCAGUUUGCGGAAAAUGAAAAUGCAAGGUGCCUUUCUCAAAGUGAUUUUGAAUUUUAGCGGCUAGAGAGAGCAGAGUAUCAAACCACGAUGAAGGGCUUCUAGUUAUCACACACACACACACACACACACACACACAGAGAGAGAGAGAGAGAGAGAGAGAGAGAGAGAGAGAGGGAGAGAGAGAGAGAGACUCUGCCUUCACACUUGCUGACAACAAAAAUCACAUCGUCCUCCACACUCCCUGUGAGCACAGGAAGGACUACGUGAGGUCUCUGGAGUGUGAUAAGCUUCCCAUAGGAGACUAACCAGGAGAGAGCAUCUAUAUACCGAAUCUUAACUGUGCCUUUGCUUCUCAAAAUGAUAGCCUGCUGAUGCAAGGCUGUGAUUUCCUGAAUAUAUUCCCAUUUCUGUUGCCAGCCUUGUAUUCCCUAGGUUGUCCAAAAAAAAAAAAAAAGUUGUGGAUGUGAUGAUUCUUUUUUUUCUUUUUAUUAUGCUUCAGUGAGCUUUCAAACUUAGCUGGUCAGAAAUAAUGAAUUUAUGCGCGUACACACACACACACACACACACACACACACACACACACACACCUAGCCUACCUUAAUUUUAUCAGUUAAUAAAGAGAGCCAAACUAUUCAGAAUAUUUAAUACAAAGAACAAAAGAGUGGCACCGCCUGAAGAAUGUCAGCAGUGUUUUCAGCUCCGCCGCCCGCUCCGCCCUGUCUUGUUUUGCACUUUAUCUUCCUGGAGCCUUUCCAGGAGACAAAUCUUUCCAUCAGAAUCUUUGUGGGUUGAAGCCCGUGUCCUGUCAGGUUGUGUAUCAAAAUUUCUGGUGAAUUUUUCCUCCUCAAUAUUUCAGACCUAUAAAAAAGAUUUGCAAAGGCAGAACUCUAGAUAUUAUAAUCACUCCAAGCACAGAAAAAAAAAAGUGGUAAAAGUUUUUCUUUUUCCCACUGCUAAAUACAGAAUGUUCCUCUGUUAGGUACCCUUAACACUGACAAAGCAUAUAUUUUUGUUUUAUC